UCUGGUGGCCAUAGCAGAGAGGAACCACCCGGUCCCAUUCCGAACCCGGAAGUGAAACUCUCUAGCGCCGAUGGUAGUGGGACGAUA
rnacentral:rRNA from 1 species